UGUAAAGCUCUUUCGUCGGGGAAGAAAAUGACUGUACCCGAAUAAGAAGGUCCGGCUAACUUCGUGCCAGCAGCCGCGGUAAUACGAAGGGACCUAGCGUAGUUCGGAAUUACUGGGCUUAAAGAGCACGUAGGUGGUUAAGAAAGUUGGUGGUGAAAUCCCAAGGCUUAACCUUGGAACUGCCACCAAAACUUUUUAACUAGAGUGUGAUAGAGGUAAGCGGAAUUUCUAGUGUAGAGGUGAAAUUCGUAGAUAUUAGAAAGAACAUCAAUUGCGAAGGCAGCUUUCUGGAUCAUUACUGACACUGAGGUGCGAAAGCAUGGGUAGCGAAGAGGAUUAGAUACCCUCGUAGUCCAUGCCGUAAACGAUGUGUGCUAGACGUUGGAAAUUUAUUUUCAGUGUCGCAGCAAAAGCAUUAAGCACACCGCCUGGGGAGUACGACCGCAAGGUUAAAACUCAAAUGAAUUGACGGGGACCCGCACAAGUAGUGGAGCAUGUGGUUUAAUUCGAAGAUACGCGCAGAACCUUACCAACACUUGACAUGUUCGUCGCGACUUUAAGAGAUUAAAGUUUUCGGUUCGGCCGGACGAAACACAGGUGCUGCAUGGCUGUCGUCAGCUCGUGUCGUGAGAUGUUGGGUUAAGUCCCGCAACGAGCGCAACCCUCACUUUUAGUUGCCAUCAUUUAGUUGGGCACUCUGAAAGAACUGCCAGUGAUAAGCUGGAGGAAGGUGGGGAUGACGUCAAGUCCUCAUGGCCCUUACGUGUUGGGCUACACACGUGCUACAAUGGCAUUUACAAUAGGAAGCAAAACGGCAACGUAGAGCAAAUCCUAAAAAAAUGCCUCAGUUCGGAUUGUACUCUGCAACUCGAGUACAUGAAGCUGGAAUUACUAGUAAUCGCGGAUCAGCGUGCCGCGGUGAAUACGUUCCCGGGUCUUGUACACACCGCCCGUCACACCAUGGGAGUGGGUUCUACCUUAAGGCAAAGUUUAAAACCUUUGACCACGGUAUAGUCAGCGACUGGGGUGAAGUCGUAACAAGGUAGCCGUAGGGGAACCUGCGGCUG
rnacentral:rRNA from 1 species